AUGGCGGAGCUGGGAAGAGGAUUAUACUUUUUCGAUUACUUGGACUUAGAGACCAAUUAUAGAAAGAAGACAGUAGCUGAGACAAAUCCUAAUGUUGGUAAAAUAUAUGUGUUGAUCAAGGCCAAGGACAAUGAAGUAGCCAUGAAAAGAUUGAAGAACGAGGUAGAAGAUACUAAGUUGUUCAGAUAUUUACAGGAAAUCCAUGGGAAAAACUACCACAACUUUGUAUUAAGCAAGCAGGUUCCAGUCGUUGGUAAUUUCAGGGAAGCCAACAUUGGCAUUGCUCCAGAGUUAGCCAAAGAGAUCGCGGAAGAAGUGGAUGUUAUCGUAAACUCUGGAGCAAAUACCACUUUUGAUGAGAGGUUCGUGAAGCUAUACUAG
rnacentral:rRNA from 1 species